ACAAAAAUAGAAAAUAAAAAAUGUUUAAAUAUAGACCGAAACAUCUAAUUUCAUAAAAAAUUAACUAAAAAAUUAUUGCGCAUGUGUACUGCCGACUUACUUUGUUUGGCAUUUGUUUGGAUUUGCCUGAAUCUGAAAGUCUGCUCUAUUUGGAAUAGAAAACUUGUAUACUCAAAAGCCUUCUUCAAAUGCUAAAUUUCGGAAUUUUAAACUAUUUUAGCAACAUUGAAUGCAGAAGCUUACGUGAUUCAAAUUCAAGAGUAGAAAAAUGCUUUCUACCUUUGAAUUAUUUCUUUGAUAGAUUCGAGAGAUUCCUUUUGAUAAACUAAAUUUUUACUGAACUGCCAAAAUUUCUAUCAAAUACAUGUUAACCCUUAAUAUUGGGUCGAGUAAAAAGCCAUUGCGUAUUUUUUGUCUCAUUAGACACCCAGUAGAUAAUUUCAGGAGCUAAAAGCCGAUCUAGAAGGCCUGCCUGUGAGUCGAAAGGCCUGACACAAUACAUUCCUUUCUUUUUUGUAUGGAUUGGCACUAAUCGAAUGGCUUCUGCCUUCGCUACCCAUAGAAGGGGUUUUGUAAGACGUACUUUGGAAAGCCUUUUUGAGAAGUUUUUUAAAGCUGAUUCUUUAAGUAAUAAGAAAAAAUACUUCUCAAGGUAUUCAUUCAAACUAAAAUUGUGUUUGUAAUGCUAUAUAACAUAAUAUUAUACAUUCGCGUAAAUUGUAAAUAGGAAAAUCCCUUCUAGAAGGUAUGCAUGCAGCGGAGCGUCUUUUUUUAGUCUUUGUUGGGUAAGCAUUUUAGAAUGGCUUCAGUUAAGGGGACCUACCUAAAUUGUCUUCGCCAUCAAUCUCGGUAGGCCUUCUUAUUCGAGAAGCAUCUUUGAGGCACUGAGGUUCUUUUGAGGCAUAAAAACUCCAAAACUGAAAAAUUGCUUCAUAGGUCAGCUAUGUAUGUGUGAAUGACUCCAGUACUGCCAAAACAUAAUACCAGCUCCUACAGACAUACGCAAUGCCAUUUUAGUUCAUCCAAUACGUGCGAGUUUCAAGAUUUUCCCGUUCCUCGAUUUUGAGCUAAUCACCCAAGCGAAAAAUUCAGCAAAAUGUUACACCCUGCAAAGCAAAUGUUUUAGAACAGUGCAUAUGCGACAAUUUUCCACAACAAUUUCAUUACACAACAAACAUUAAAAAAUAAAAUAAAAUCACAGCAUCAAACUAAAAACCACAGCGAAAAAUAUUUACAUACGCAAUGUUGUUGUUAAAACAAACGAUUUUUUUCUUUAACGUGUUGUAUAUACCUACAUAUUGUCGUACAUAUAAAACAUAUGUCAAUAUGUGGGCAUGUAUGUAUGUAUAGCAAACAAAAGAUAUGCAACUUUCGAAAGUGAUCGUGGCUGGUCGAAACAUUCCAAUUGUACUUAAAUUGUUAAUAUUUAAUUUGUAUUUUUCUUACUUUUAACUAACAAAUCGUAAGCUCUUUAUACAUACAUACAUACAUAUACACUAAAAUACAUUCUUACACAUGUACAUGCAUACAAAAUGAUAUGAGCAUAAUUUAAUGAAGUAGUGAUUUAAGCGUAAAACUAAAUUAAAAAAAAAUAUAUAUAUAUAUAAAAUCAUGAUGAAUAUUCUAAAAGAAACAACACCCUUAAUAUUAAUAUAAGCAAAUGAAAUGAAGGAGUAAAAGUUUGUGAGAAAGCGUAAAAUGUGAAAAAAAGUCUAAGAAGCAAAGUUUAGUGAGCAAUGAUGAAAAAAGGCAACUUUUAACUUUCGAUUAAGCUAAGACAUAAAUAAAUACACAUAAUAAAAUUACCUACAUACAUACAUACUCUUAUGCUAACAACUCGAUAAUUAAGUUGAUGAAUUCUAAAACAAAUAAAAACAAAAACAAAUUUAGUAAAACAACAAAAAGAACAAGCAAAAAACAAUGAAUGCUCCGAUAGAUAUGUUUUUCGUAGUGGUGUGUGUACCUAUAGAUACAAUCCUUUAAGCAAAUGUUUGAAAAACUAUAACACAAAUACCUACAAUUAUUUGAGACCUUUGUCAGCUAGGGGUGGGGAAAAUGUUAUGUAAUAAUGCCUCAUUUGUGCGAGUGUUGGCUAACUGUGAUUUUAACUUAUUCGUGUUUUCAAUUUUCAUGAAUUCAAAUUGAAACUGAAAUUAGAAUGAUUGUAAAAUUCCGAUAAACUUGAACAAAUUUUUGAGCAAAAACUAAAUUUUAAAAUGAUGUCUCAUUUUUGAAACCCAUUAUACUAUAUAACUCGCACAAAUAAAGCAUUAAUUAAGGCUAAGUUAAAAAGUUAAACACAAUUUUAAAGUAUUGAGUCUCAACUUGUAAGUCGCUAAAAAGAAAAUACUGUUAUGCUUAGAAUUAUUGUUUUUGUAAAAAUUAUUUCGUGGUUUCAUAAACGCCUAGCACAAAAGUGCAUUGAUUAGCGCUCAGCGGUGUUAGCGGUGUCAGCGGUGUGGAAUGGGUGAAGGAAAUGCCGGUUAUUAAUUGAAAAACUGGUAGUGUAAGGAAAUAAAAUGAAACGUCCAUAAAAAAUAUGUGAAAACCAACCAACGAACGGAUGUCCUCACUGCUGAUGAAAAGAUUUUUUAGUGACAUAUCAUGCACCAAUUUUGGUAUGCUCAAGGAGUAAAGGAGUGUUUUGAAGGUACACAGGUGACACAGGCAACUGCGUUUGAAACCAACAAGCUAAGGAAUAAAUGACUAAAGCGUUUUGAAUCGGAACCGAAUUGCUGAAUACUUUAUAGCUCGCCCUAAGGAAAACCCCAACAGGAGCAAAUAUGUUUGUCCUUCCUUCAUAUCACAAUUACAUAUGUACUUACAUUAUCCAAGUGGCGAAUUUCAAAAAUAAAACCUUAAACCAUUAAACUGUAAAAGAACACCGCAAACACGGGAGGUCGCAAAACUUCUUUUAAACUGCUAAAAUUUGUUGUAAUUAUUUUUCCCGAUUUGAGUUUUAUAAUUUUCAAAUAAAAUACUGUUUUAUAAUAAUAAUAAU